UGGCGCCGUUGCCGGGGA
rnacentral:snRNA from 1 species